rnacentral:rRNA from 1 species
GACGAACGCUGGCGGCGUGCUUAAUACAUGCAAGUCGAACGGAAAGGCCCUGCUUUUGUGGGAUGCUCGAGUGGCGAACGGGUGAGUAACACGUGAGUAACCUGCCCUUGACUUUGGUAUAACUUCAGGAAACUGGGGCUAAUACCGGAUAGGAGCUCCUGCUGCAUGGGGGGGGUUGGAAAGUUUCGGCGGUUGGGGAUGGACUCGCGGCUUAUCAGCUUGUUGGUGGGGUAGUGGCUUACCAAGGCUUUGACGGGUAGCCGGCCUGGGAGGGUGACCGGCCACAUUGGGACUGAGAUACGGCCCAGACUCCUACGGGAGGCAGCAGUGGGGAAUAUUGCACAAUGGGCGGAAGCCUGAUGCAGCAACGCCGCGUGCGGGAUGACGGCCUUCGGGUUGUAAACCGCUUUCGCCUGUGACGAAGCGUGAGUGACGGUAAUGGGUAAAGAAGCACCGGCUAACUACGUG